AAAACUUCUCAAAAAAACAUUUAUCCUAUAAUUUUUUAUAAAAAUAUAAUUAACACUGAAAAGGAAACUAAAACAAUCUCACAGAAAAACAAUGUUCCUUUAGUAUCAGGAUUUAUCAAACUAAUUACAAAUUCUACCCUUCUCGAAAUUAUAUGAUCUAUUUUAAAUAAUAAUCUCUAUUACAAAAGCCUAUUAAAACUUAAAAUAGUAAAUAAACCUUUUACGAAUAUAAUUAUAUCUAGUUUAAGAAAAAUAAAUCAACUUUUUAUAAAACUUUUAUAAGAUAAAGUUUAAAAAAAAAUUAAAAAAAAACAAACUUUAAACAGGAAUUAAAAUAUCCGUACUAUAUUAAAAUUAUACUUAUCAUCUAAACAAUCUCUAAUAUUCUUAUUAACCAUUAAAACAAAAUAAUAAUAAAACAAGUAAACCCCCUCAAAUAAAAAUUCUAAACUCGUCAAAAUUAAAUGACUGUUUAACAAAAACAUUUCUAUUAAAAUUAAUAAUAGUAAGAUCUGCUCAAUGAAAAUUAAAUAGCCGCAACACGUGCUAAGGUAGUAUAAUAACUUGUCUUUUAAUUAAAGACAAAACAAAAGAUUUAACAUUUUAAGACAUAUAAACAACUAUAUAUUUAAACUAUUUUAGUUUUUAAAAAAAAACUAUAUAAAAAAAAGACGACAAGACCCUAUUGAACUUAACUUUAGUUCAACUGGGGCAGUUGAUUAAAAAUAUCUUAAUUACAUUUUAACAAAAUAUGACCUAAUUUAAUUAAUUAAAAAAUCAAGUUACCAUAGGGAUAACAGCGUAAUAAUUAUCUAAAGCUCUCAUACAAAAAAUAGAUUGCGACCUCGAUGUUGAAUUAAUAAUCUAAUUUGCGCAAUAGCAAAAAAAGAAAGUCUGUUCGACUUUUAAAAAAUUACAUGAUUUGAGUUCAGACCGGUGUAAGCCAGGUCGGUUUCCAUCUUUUAAAAAAAUUCUUCUAGUACGAAAGGACCUAAGAA
rnacentral:rRNA from 1 species